rnacentral:rRNA from 1 species
CCUACGGGAGGCAGCAGUGGGGAAUUUUGCGCAAUGGGCGAAAGCCUGACGCAGCAACGCCGCGUGUGUGAUGAAGGUCUUUGGAUUGUAAAGCACUUUCGACCGGGACGAAAACCCCUGGGCUAAUACUCCAGGGCUUGACGGUACCGGGAGAAGAAGCACCGGCUAACUCUGUGCCAGCAGCCGCGGUAAUACAGAGGGUGCAAGCGUUGUUCGGAAUUAUUGGGCGUAAAGCGCGUGUAGGCGGCUUUGCAAGUCGGAUGUGAAAGCCCUCGGCUCAACCGAGGAAGUGCGUUCGAAACUGCAGAGCUUGAGUACCGGAGAGGGUGGCGGAAUUCCCCAAGUAGAGGUGAAAUUCGUAGAUAUGGGGAGGAACACCGGUGGCGAAGGCGGCCACCUGGACGGUCACUGACGCUGAGACGCGAAAGCGUGGGUAGCAA